rnacentral:lncRNA from 10 species
GAAGGAGAGAGCGGGAAGGAGGAAGGGAGGGUGGCAUUCCUGGGAUUCCCUGGAUAGGGGGAAGAGUGGGAGGGCCUUCCAUGGGUGAGCAAGCAGAGAGGGCACCCCGUACCCCACCCCCAGCCCCAUCAUCGAAGCGGCCUAGGAGGACCUGGAUUUGAAGACCAUUGAAAAUAAGAGAUUAAACCGGUUGAUUCCAGGCUACUGGUCAGACGAGGAAAGCAGCCCAGAGCACUGACCACAGGGGAAAACAUCUCCGGGCAUACUGGGAGCAGCUGCUGGGGGCCACUGGUCAGGCUGCGGGGGUCACUGGUUGGACUGGGAGAGGCCAGUGCAGGCCACUCGGACGGCACGCUUGGGGCCAUUAGUUACACUGGGAGAGGCCAUCGCAGGCCACAGGUUGCAGUGGGGUCCUCUGGUUAAAAUCGACGAUGCCAGCCCAGGCUGCUGGUCACAGUGGGGACGAGUCCCCAAGGCCCCUGGUCAGAAUAACGAGGAGAAGGUCCGCGAUUGCCUGGUGAGAUCCCAGCUCGGGUCACUGGCUACGCUGGUCGAUCAGGCCCCCCGCUGCAGGCGCUGGUCAGUAAGCCCGGACAGCUCUAGGCUUGGGGGCGGACGAGCCCCGAGCCUGGCCCCGUGCACUGGGAGGUCCGCUCCGGGCAGUGGGAGGUCCUGGCCCCGCGCCCGGGCAUCGGGGGACGAGGGGGGC